CAAACAGCGAUGACGAAGAAACGCUGUGUACCGGAGACCCUCAGAGAGCCGAUGUUCGCUGCGAAUCGGCGGUUCCACACACAGAUAAGCACUUCCGAGUUGUUGCGUCGAACCUUAUUUAAGUAGACGCGAACGGUAGAUCCGUUAUCUCUUUAGGUCAUGUACCUAGCAAGGCUCUUCUUUGAGAAAAGAAGGGUAAAUGAGGGUGGCACCGCGAAGCAAAGCCUCUCGUCCCUCAC
rnacentral:ncRNA from 1 species